UACGUAGGGGGCUAGCGUUGUCCGGAAUCAUUGGGCGUAAAGAGCGUGUAGGCGGUCCGGUAAGUCCGUUGUGAAAGUCAGGGGCUCAACCCUUGAAUGCCGGCGGAUACUGUCGGGCUAGAGUCCGGAAGAGGCAAGUGGAAUUCCCGGUGUAGCGGUGAAAUGCGCAGAUAUCGGGAGGAACACCUAUGGCGAAGGCAGCUCUCUGGGACGGUACUGACGCUGAGACGCGAAAGCGUGGGGAGCGAACAGG
rnacentral:rRNA from 1 species